rnacentral:lncRNA from 1 species
CAUACAUGUAAUUCUAUAGAACAUAAGGACUUUAAUAUUUGAUGUAAAACAGAGUUCAUGUUCCUAAAAAUGGAAUUUGUCAGAUACAAUAUUUUUUAGAUCUAGAUUUUGCACAGCUUCCUACUUCCAUUUUAAUUUGUCUUCAAUUGUAGCACUGUGGGGAGUGAAACUGCCACUGACAAUUAAAAAUUCUAUGGCAAUUCCUCUCAAUUCCAUUUUCUCCUACAAACACCUGAUCGACAAUAGCCUCUGUCUGGCUUACCAUUAGAUUCUUUCAGCACAUUUGGCUAGCUAUAUUGAAAUUUCUUUUUCUUUAGGCUCAUGAACCUUCAAGAUUCUUGGCUGCAAGCAGUACACCUUUCCACUUACUCUAAUUUGUCUUUUCCUGCAAUUUCUUAUGUUUUAGCAGUUCAAAAUCUUUCUCAGUUGAGAGAGAGAUCUCUCCAUCUUCUUCAGGGCUUGCCCCUGGAUCAUCAUCCAGUUGGAUGCUCACUGAAUGUUUUCUUCACUAGACAAACCUCAACCAUUCCUUCCAGAUGUCCCAACCAUCUGAUGCAACUGGUUCUAAUUUCACUUAUCCAUAUCUGUAUCUUUUUAGCUCGUCAGUCAAAGUUUGCUCUGUACAAAUUUUUUAUGUUCCAAGUUCCAAAUCUCCAUCUACUAUUCCAUAUCAUAACCUACAUCCAUUAUUCCAUUAUUUGAUGAGUACAAUAUAUCUAGAAUCUAAUCCUAUAACAAACUAAUCUAUUUAUAUUUAUAAAUUGCCAAUAAAUUUUUAGCAGAAC